GGAUGCUUAGCUCAGUUGGGAGAGCAUCACCCUUACAAGGUGGGGGUCGGGAGUUCGAGCCUCUCAGCAUCCACCA
rnacentral:tRNA from 1 species